rnacentral:rRNA from 1 species
CGGACGGGUGAGUAAUGUCUGGGAAACUGCCCGAUGGAGGGGGGUAACUACUGGAAACGGUAGCUAAUACCGCAUAACGUCGCAAGGCCAAAGAGGGGGACCUUCGGGCCUCUUGCCAUCGGAUGUGCCCAGAUGGGAUUAGCUAGUAGGUGGGGUAACGGCUCACCUAGGCGACGAUCCCUAGCUGGUCUGAGAGGAUGACCAGCCACACUGGAACUGAGACACGGUCCAG